GGAAGAACAAGUGCUAGUUGAAUAAGCUGGCACCUUGACGGUACCUAACCAGAAAGCCACGGCUAACUACGUGCCAGCAGCCGCGGUAAUACGUAGGUGGCAAGCGUUAUCCGGAAUUAUUGGGCGUAAAGCGCGCGCAGGUGGUUUCUUAAGUCUGAUGUGAAAGCCCACGGCUCAACCGUGGAGGGUCAUUGGAAACUGGGAGACUUGAGUGCAGAAGAGGAAAGUGGAAUUCCAUGUGUAGCGGUGAAAUGCGUAGAGAUAUGGAGGAACACCAGUGGCGAAGGCGACUUUCUGGUCUGUAACUGACACUGAGGCGCGAAAGCGUGGGGAGCAAACAGGAUUAGAUACCCUGGUAGUCCACGCCGUAAACGAUGAGUGCUAAGUGUUAGAGGGUUUCCGCCCUUUAGUGCUGAAGUUAACGCAUUAAGCACUCCGCCUGGGGGAGUACGGCCGCAAGGCUGAAACUCAAAGGAAUUGACGGGGGCCCGCACAAGCGGUGGAACAUGUGGUUUAAUUCGAAGCAACGCGAAGAACCUUACCAGGUCUUGACAUCCUCUGAAAACCCUAGAGAUAGGGCUUCUCCUUCGGGAGCAGAGUGACAGGUGGUGCAUGGGUGUCGUCACCUCGUGUCGUGAGAUGUU
rnacentral:rRNA from 1 species